CAAGUUCAGGUCUCGUCAAGGCUGGCGACGGUCCGCUGAGCUCCGUACAGGUGUUUAUGUAGGUAGAGGUGUGUGUGUGUGUGAGGAGCAAGAUGACACCUUACAGCACAGUUCAGUUGGAAGAACUGUAAUGACUCAACUUCACGAGGACGAUUGCUCCAAACUCCCGAACACACAAGUACAAGAAGCUUUGACCACCUACGAGACGGACCUUCUGGAGCUCUACAGCCACUCACAAAAUUAAGACUCACCUGGAUCUUGUGUUCAGUUCGCAACACCGCUCUAAGGGUUAUAAGGGACCACGGCACGCACAGGGGGACACAGCAGUGCUCUCCCAUGUCCAUGGACAGCUGGCAUUCUGC